rnacentral:rRNA from 1 species
AUACGGAGGAUGCAAGCGUUAUCCGGAUUUAUUGGGUUUAAAGGGUGCGCAGGCGGGCUGUUAAGUCAGCGGUGAAAUCUCCCGGCUCAACCGGGGAACUGCCGUUGAUACUGGCAGCCUAGAGUACAGACGGCGCCGGCGGAAUGUGUCAUGUAGCGGUGAAAUGCUUAGAUAUGCCACAGAACACCGAUCGCGAAGGCAGCUGGCGAGGCUGGUACUGACGCUCAGGCACGAAAGCGUGGGGAUCAAACAGGAUUAGAUACCCUGGUAGUCCACGCAGUAAACGAUGAGGACUUGUUGUCGGCGAUAGAAUGUCGGUGACAAAGCGAAAGCGAUAAGUCCUCCACCUGGGGAGUACGAGCGCAAGGUUGAAACUCAAAUGAAUUGGCGGGG